ACAUGCAAGUCGGAACGAUGACGACCGUGCUUGCACGGUCUGAUUAGUGGCGAACGGGUGAGUAACACGUGAGUAACCUGCCCCCCACUCUGGGAUAACCUCGGGAAAUCGGGGCUAAUACCGGAUAUGAGCUCCUGCCGCAUGGUGGGUGCUGGAAAGUUUUUCGGUGGGGGAUGGACUCGCGGCCUAUCAGUUUGUUGGUGAGGUAAUGGCUCACCAAGGCGAUGACGGGUAGCCGGCCUGAGAGGGCGACCGGCCACACUGGGACUGAGACACGGCCCAGACUCCUACGGGAGGCAGCAGUGGGGAAUAUUGCACAAUGGGCGAAAGCCUGAUGCAGCGACGCCGCGUGGGGGAUGACGGCCUUCGGGUUGUAAACCUCUUUCAGUAGGGAAGAAGCGAAAGUGACGGUACCUGCAGAAGAAGCGCCGGCUAACUACGUGCCAGCAGCCGCGGUAAUACGUAGGGCGCAAGCGUUGUCCGGAAUUAUUGGGCGUAAAGAGCUUGUAGGUGGCUUGUCGCGUCUGCCGUGAAAACCCGAGGCUCAACCUCGGGCGUGCGGUGGGUACGGGCAGGCUAGAGUGUGGUAGGGGAGACUGGAACUCCUGGUGUAGCGGUGAAAUGCGCAGAUAUCAGGAAGAACACCGAUGGCGAAGGCAGGUCUCUGGGCCAUUACUGACACUGAGAAGCGAAAGCAUGGGGAGCGAACAGGAUUAGAUACCCUGGUAGUCCAUGCCGUAAACGUUGGGCACUAGGUGUGGGGAACAUUCCACGUUUUCCGCGCCGUAGCUAACGCAUUAAGUGCCCCGCCUGGGGAGUACGGCCGCAAGGCUAAAACUCAAAGGAAUUGACGGGGGCCCGCACAAGCGGCGGAGCAUGCGGAUUAAUUCGAUGCAACGCGAAGAAACCUUACCAAGGCUUGACAUGCACCGGACGACCUCAG
rnacentral:rRNA from 1 species